rnacentral:rRNA from 1 species
AGCAGUGAGGAAUAUUGGACAAUGGAUGGAAAUCUGAUCCAGCCAUGCCGCGUGCAGGAAGACGGCCCUAUGGGUUGUAAACUGCUUUUCUACGGGAGCAAUAAGGUCUACGCGUAGACUGAUGAGAGUACCGUAGGAAUAAGCAUCGGCUAACUCCGUGCCAGCAGCCGCGGUAAUACGGAGGAUGCGAGCGUUAUCCGGAUUUAUUGGGUUUAAAGGGUGCGUAGGCGGCUUUUUAAGUCAGCGGUGAAAUUUUGCAGCUUAACUGUAACAGUGCCGUUGAUACUGGGGAGCUAGGAUUUGGUUGCUGUGGGUGGAAUGUGUGGUGUAGCGGUGAAAUGCUUA